UACAGAGGGUGCAAGCGUUAUUCGGAAUUAUUGGGCGUAAAGAGCGCGUAGGCGGUUUGAUAAGUCUGGUGUGAAAUCCCUGGACUCAAUUCAGGAAGCGCAUUGGAUACUGUCAGACUAGAGUGCAGGAGAGGUGAGCGGAAUUCCCGGUGUAGAGGUGAAAUUCGUAGAUAUCGGGAGGAACAACAGUGGCGAAGGCGGCUCACUGGACUGUAACUGACGCUGAGGCGCGAAAGCGUGGGGAGCAAACAGG
rnacentral:rRNA from 1 species